CACUGCACUCCAGCCUGAGUGACAGAGCAAGACUCCAUCUCCAAAAAAAAGAAAAAACAAAAAUAAAAACAAAGAAUUUGCCUAUGCUGAGUCCUAUGCUGCGUUACGCCCUUGACAAACAGACAAGUUUCAUUCUUUCUGGGAUAGAUAGAUCUUUCCUCUCCCCAAGAUAAAAAAGGUCAGUGAAUGAAGCAAGAAGGCUUGGAAAUGAGAAUCUACAUAAAACAGUAGAAACAGAUGUUUCCUGGAGUCGGACAGGUAUCUCUCAAAGUGGUACAAGGUAUUUUGCUACCCAUUAUAAAAAGAAAGGGAAGAAUGGAGCAUAGUCCCAAAUUUUAAUAUUGUGCUAUACCAACUCACGCCACAUGUUUAAUUUUUGUUUUUGUUCAAAGCUAACAGUUAUGGGGUGCCUCCUCAGCGGCAGGCACUGUUCUACGUGCUUUAUACAUGUAACUCAUUUAAUCCUAACAAGCCUAUGAUAUAGUUACUAUUAUUAUCUAUUAUUAUCUCCAUUUGGCAGAUGAGGAAACUAAGCCACAGCAAAGUUAAGUAACUUGUCUUAGGGCCACACAAGCCAUUAAGUUGAGGAUCAGAGGCCAUGCUAGCUCCAGAACCUGUGCUCUGGCCACACGACCUCUUAGGUACCCUGGCCAUUGUAACUGUAACUUACUGAGCGAGUACUUCCUAGGCACAUUGUGCCCAGUGUUAGCAUUGUAUUUCACUUAAUGUAAUCUUCGAAAUAAUUUAUGAGAAUGGUGAUAUUAUUCCUAUUUUAUAGAUAAGGCAACUGAGACACAGAGGCUUAAUAUAAUUAUCCAUAGUCAUGAAGCUAAUAAAUGGCAGAGUUGGGAUUUGAUGCCAAAUCCCAUUACCUUUCCACUAUACCUGACUGCCUCCUUUCAAGGACUAGUUUUAUCAGAGAAAUAAGGUGGCAUAAAGAACCUCCCCACUACUCUCCCAAACAAUGAACCAGUCUCUCUCUCUCUCCAUCAUUCAUUUCUCUCUAUUGGACUCCUCAAUGCCCCAUAAUCACCUCAUAAUCCAAAUAUUUCUCAAAUCAAUGUUUCCAGAUAAGGAAACGGAAGUAUAUGGUACCUAGCUAUUUUUUUUUAGAGUUCCAAAUUCCACAUACCAUAGAGCUGGGCAAUUUAAUUCCACCUCCCCAUUCUUACUGCCUGAACCACUAUAAACAUACAUCUACUUUCUAUUCAUCUGCUCCCAAAAUCUCUCCCUUUGACAGGCAAAACCUCACUGCAAUAUGAUGGUCAGCCAUUUUCUUUGUACUAUAAGCAGCCCUACUAUACUGGCCCUACUACAGUCAGUAUUAAAUAUGAAAGCUUUCUGGCCAGGCACAGUGGUUCACACCUAUAAUCCCAGCAUUUUGGGAGGCCAAGGUCAGAGGAUUGCUUGAGCCUAGCAGUUUGAGAGCAGCCUGGGCAACAUAGUGAGACCCCCAUCAUUAUAAAAAAUAAAUUUAACAGUUACCCAGGUUCUGUGGCACACACCUGUAGGCCCAGCUACUUGGGAGGGGUGGGGGGAGGAGAUGGAAGUUGCAGUGAGUCAUGAUCACACCAGUGCACUCCAGCCUGGGCGAUAAAUACAGACCCUGCCUCCAAAAAGAUAAAAGAAAGAAAGAAAAAGAAGAGAGCACUUUCUUCUGAAAGAGCUAACUGCCCCAGUUCACAUCUAGUCAGAGCACUCUCAGGCUUCCUCCCAAAAUUACAAGUGUUUGGGAAUCUUUUGAAACACUUCAGGAUACCACCUUAAGCAACGCACACACCAUGCAAAACACCUUAAAAACAUUCCCAAUACAAAAGGGGAUCUGGAGAAGUUCAGGAUUUAAGCUCCGACAGCACCUGGCCAGGAGUGGUAAGCAGAUACCAAUCUGGAGGGAGACCAACAAGAGAUAAAUUGGAGGAAGCAAAUCUGAUGUCUAUUUAGUUUAGCCAUAAAGGGAAGGGGAAAUAUUAAAGAAGGUGAUUAUAUUCAGUUGAAGGUCUUUCUUCCUCCCCUACAGAAACAAAUUCCUAUUAAUUGCUGGGUAUCUGGCAUAUAAUAAAUGCUAAAUAAACAUUGGCUGAUUGAACAAAUUGCCAAGUUCUCUUGCAUUUCUUGCUUCUGAAAAUCAGUUUGGAGCUGCCUCGUAUCUUUUCUGGAAAGCAGUAAUAAAUCGGGUUAAAUCAUUAUAAUUUCCACAAUAUGCAUUAAAUGAGUUAUUCCUAAAUUAGGCAGACAUGUUCAACAGUAAAGCAUAUCGGAAAGUGAAAGAGCUAAGAUAUGAAUAUAUAGAACCUGUGUAUCCUCCCAAGGAAAGCAACACAGUACUGUAGAAAGAGCGCUGUACUUGGAGUUGGACAACCUAAAUUCAAAUCUCUGCUCCAUCUCUCAGUAGCUGUGUGGACUUGGGACCACAUUAUUAUCCUAAAUUUUAUCAUUUGUGAAUUGGGGAAUACCAUCACUCUCCUCACAGGCUUGUUGGUAAGAUUAAAUGGGAAUUAAGCCGCCAGUAUGCCAUUUCUGCCCUGGGUAGAAAAGAUUCAAAAAAUAAGACACAAAUUGUCAAUAAUACAAAGUGUAUGGAUGCAGUGGUGGGCACAAAGCAAACACUGAAGGGGAGAUUAUGUACGGAGGCAAAAGAAAGAAAAACAUUACAGCUAGGUUGUGACUUGGUGUUGGGUGUGUUUCACAGAAGGGAGUCGUCAGUCACUACUAUAAAGGAGUCUUCUAAACCAAAGGAUAAAGGUGUGGUAGGCUAUCUUUUGAAGUGAGCAUGUAAAAUUCCUGGAAGGAAAAGUAAUGAAGAGCUAACGGUUCUUGGAAAGAGGUUCAGAGAACUGACGGAUUUAUAACAAGAUACUCUUUUACAGCAGUUGUAAAGUGGAAGGAACUAAACUGGAAUACGAGCUCCAAGCAUGACCUUGGGCAAGUUAUUUAACCAAUCUAAAGUCUCAAUUGCAAAAUGCAGAUAAUACCUCACGGAAUUGCUCUAAGAUUAAAUGAGAUAAUGGACAGCAAAACUGUUAAUGCGAUACGAAUAAUAGGUAUCAUUAGGAGUUACAUUGUCCACCCACUUACAACAUAAUACGUCCAUGACCUUGGGCGUGAUUUCAGCUCUUUGCACCUCGGUUUUCUCAUCUAUAAAAUGGGGAGGAUGAGACCAUCUACCCUAUAAACACUAUGAGGAUCAAAGGAGACCAUAGAUGAAACAUCAAUGCCUCGAAAACCGUACCGUGAUAAAGGACCCGCUCGAUAGCCCCCGCUUCGCCGGCCCGGACGAUAUAGAGGGCGCGCUCCUCAUCCAUGGCCGCAGGUGCGGGGGAGCCGCGGCCGCUCUGCGCGCCCAAGCCGCUGCCUCCAGGCUGUUCCCACUACUUGGUUCCUCAUGGCCCAGCUGAAACCCCU